UCCGAGUUGUCCCCGGCAGUCUCCCACGAGUCCCCGGCAUCACCCGCUGGCAACAUGGGACAAGGGUUGCGCUCGUUGCGGGACUUAACCCAACACCUCACGGCACGAGCUGACGACAGCCAUGCAGCACCUGUGCCAGCCCCAAAAGGACACGGGCUUUCACCCGCUUUAACUAGCAUGUCAAGCCUAGGUAAGGUUCUUCGCGUUGCAUCGAAUUAAGCCACAUGCUCCGCCGCUUGUGCGGGUCCCCGUCAAUUCCUUUGAGUUUUAGCCUUGCGGCCGUACUCCCCAGGCGGGGUGCUUAAUGCGUUAGCGUCGGCACAGGGAGGGUUGAUGCUCCCCACACCUAGCACCCAACGUUUACGGCUGGGACUAC
rnacentral:misc_RNA from 1 species